UCAGAUUGAACGCUGGCGGCAUGCUUUACACAUGCAAGUCGAACGGCAGCGCGGGGCAACCUGGCGGCGAGUGGCGAACGGGUGAGUAAUAUAUCGGAACGUACCCAAGAGUGGGGGAUAACGUAGCGAAAGUUACGCUAAUACCGCAUACGAUCUAAGGAUGAAAGCAGGGGAUCUUCGGACCUUGUGCUCCUGGAGCGGCCGAUAUCUGAUUAGCUAGUUGGUGAGGUAAAGGCCCACCAAGGCGACGAUCAGUAGCUGGUCUGAGAGGACGACCAGCCACACUGGAACUGAGACACGGUCCAGACUCCUACGGGAGGCAGCAGUGGGGAAUUUUGGACAAUGGGCGCAAGCCUGAUCCAGCAAUGCCGCGUGAGUGAAGAAGGCCUUCGGGUUGUAAAGCUCUUUUGUCAGGGAAGAAACGGUAGAGGCUAAUAUCCUUUGCUAAUGACGGUACCUGAAGAAUAAGCACCGGCUAACUACGUGCCAGCAGCCGCGGUAAUACGUAGGGUGCAAGCGUUAAUCGGAAUUACUGGGCGUAAAGCGUGCGCAGGCGGUUUUGUAAGUCUGUCGUGAAAUCCCCGGGCUCAACCUGGGAAUUGCGAUGGAGACUGCAAGGCUAGAAUCUGGCAGAGGGGGGUAGAAUUCCACGUGUAGCAGUGAAAUGCGUAGAGAUGUGGAGGAACACCGAUGGCGAAGGCAGCCCCCUGGGUCAAGAUUGACGCUCAUGCACGAAAGCGUGGGGAGCAAACAGGAUUAGAUACCCUGGUAGUCCACGCCCUAAACGAUGUCUACUAGUUGUCGGGUUUUAAUUAACUUGGUAACGCAGCUAACGCGUGAAGUAGACCGCCUGGGGAGUACGGUCGCAAGAUUAAAACUCAAAGGAAUUGACGGGGACCCGCACAAGCGGUGGAUGAUGUGGAUUAAUUCGAUGCAACGCGAAAAACCUUACCUACCCUUGACAUGUACGGAAGCCACGAGAGAUCGAGGUGUGCUCGAAAGAGAGCCGUAACACAGGUGCUGCAUGGCUGUCGUCAGCUCGUGUCGUGAGAUGUUGGGUUAAGUCCCGCAACGAGCGCAACCCUUGUCAUUAGUUGCUACAUUUAGUUGAGCACUCUAAUGAGACUGCCGGUGACAAACCGGAGGAAGGUGGGGAUGACGUCAAGUCCUCAUGGCCCUUAUGGGUAGGGCUUCACACGUCAUACAAUGGUACAUACAGAGGGCCGCCAACCCGCGAGGGGGAGCUAAUCCCAGAAAGUGUAUCGUAGUCCGGAUCGCAGUCUGCAACUCGACUGCGUGAAGUUGGAAUCGCUAGUAAUCGCGGAUCAGCAUGUCGCGGUGAAUACGUUCCCGGGUCUUGUACACACCGCCCGUCACACCAUGGGAGCGGGUUUUACCAGAAGUAGGUAGCUUAACCGCAAGGAGGGCGCUUACCACGGUAGGAUUCGUGACUGGGGUG
rnacentral:rRNA from 1 species